rnacentral:rRNA from 1 species
UAAUACGAAGGGGGCUAGCGUUGUUCGGAAUUACUGGGCGUAAAGCGUAUGCAGGCGGAUCGUUAAGUCGGGGGUGAAAUCCCGAGGCUCAACCUCGGAACUGCCUUCGAUACUGGCGAUCUUGAGUCCGGGAGAGGUGAGUGGAACUCCGAGUGUAGAGGUGAAAUUCGUAGAUAUUCGGAAGAACACCAGUGGCGAAGGCGGCUCACUGGCCCGGUACUGACGCUGAGAUACGAAAGCGUGGGGAGCAAACAGG